GCGCACGCUGGCGGCGUGCCUCACACAUGCAAGUCGAACGUGAAAAGGGAAACCUGAGUAAAGUGGCGUACGGGUGAGUAACGCGUAGGUAAUCUACCCCAGAAUCUGGAAUAACCUGCCGAAAGGCGGGCUAAUACUGGAUAGAGCGAGGGAACUCGUAAGAGAGUUUUUCGGGAAAGGGAGCCCGCAAGGGCCUUCGUUCUGGGAUGAGCCUGCGUCUCAUUAGCUAGUUGGUAAGGUAACGGCUUACCAAGGCGAUGAUGAGUAGCUGGUCUGAGAGGAUGAUCAGCCACACUGGAACUGAAACACGGUCCAGACUCCUACGGGAGGCAGCAGUGGGGAAUCUUGCGCAAUGGACGAAAGUCUGACGCAGCCACGCCGCGUGAGUGAAGAAGGCCUUCGGGUUGUAAAGCUCUGUCGGAUGGGACGAACAUCUUCAUAGUGAAUAGCUAUGAGGACUGACGGUACCAUCAAAGGAAGCACCGGCUAACUCCGUG
rnacentral:rRNA from 1 species